AUUGAACGCUGGCGGAAUGCUUUACACAUGCAAGUCGAACGGCAGCACGGGGGCAACCCUGGUGGCGAGUGGCGAACGGGUGAGUAAUACAUCGGAACGUGCCCGGUCGUGGGGGAUAACGUAGCGAAAGUUACGCUAAUACCGCAUACGAUCUGAGGAUGAAAGCGGGGGACCUUCGGGCCUCGCGCAAUCGGAGCGGCCGAUGUCAGAUUAGGUAGUUGGUGGGGUAAAGGCCUACCAAGCCGACGAUCUGUAGCUGGUCUGAGAGGACGACCAGCCACACUGGGACUGAGACACGGCCCAGACUCCUACGGGAGGCAGCAGUGGGGAAUUUUGGACAAUGGGCGCAAGCCUGAUCCAGCCAUUCCGCGUGCAGGACGAAGGCCUUCGGGUUGUAAACUGCUUUUGUAUGGAACGAAAAGGCUCUGGCUAAUACCUGGGGCUCAUGACGGUACCGUAAGAAUAAGCACCGGCUAACUACGUG
rnacentral:rRNA from 1 species